rnacentral:tRNA from 1 species
UAGCUCAGUCAGUUAGAGUGUGGUGCUGAUAAACACCAAGGUCGUGGGUUCAAUCCCCAU